UACAGAGGUCCCAAGCGUUGUUCGGAUUCACUGGGCGUAAAGGGCGCGUAGGUGGCCGGGUAAGUCUGACGUGAAAUCUCCGAGCCUAACUCGGAAACUGCAUCGGAUACUAUCCGGCUUGAGGGUUGGAGGGGGGACUGGAAUACUUGGUGUAGCAGUGAAAUGCGUAGAUAUCAAGUGGAACACCAGUGGCGAAGGCGAGUCCCUGGACAACACCUGACACUGAGGCACGAAAGCGAGGGGAGCAAACAGG
rnacentral:rRNA from 1 species